GCAGCGAAACGCGAUAGUUAAUGUGAAUUGCAGAAUUCAGUGAAUCAUCGAGUCUUUGAACGCACAUUGCGCCCAUUGGUAUUCCUUUGGGCAUGUCUGUUUGAGCGUCAUUACAACUCCUCAGCUAACGCUGGUUUUGAACCGGGACAGGUUGACACCCGCACCGGUUUUAAAGUUGUAAGCUCUGCUGGCUGCUCUGCCCCAACCGGAACAUAGUAAAAACUACUACUUGUUAAGGCGAGGCGAAGCGGUACGGCCUGAACAAAACCUACCCAUUUUUCUAAGGUUUGACCUCAGAUCAGACAAGGAUACCCGCUGAACUUAAGCAUAUCAAUAAGCGGAGGAAAAGAAACCAACAGGGAUUGCCUCAGUAACGGCGAGUGAAGCGGCAACAGCUCAAAUUUGAAAUCUGGAGCCUUCGGCUUCCGAGUUGUAAUUUGAAGAGGAUGUUUCGGUGCGGCCUGGGCCUAAGUUCCUUGGAACAGGACGUCAUGGAGGGUGAGAAUCCCGUACAUGGCUGCAGGCUUGCUUCUAUGUG
rnacentral:rRNA from 1 species